rnacentral:rRNA from 1 species
AUAUCAAUAAGCGGAGGAAAAGAAACUAACAAGGAUUCCCCUAGUAACGGCGAGCGAACCGGGAUCAGCCCAACAUGUAAAUCUCCCCUUGGAGAAUUGUAGUCUACAGAAGCGCCCUCUGUGGCGAGCUGCGCCGAAGUUCCCUGGAAAGGGACGUCAAAGAGGGUGAGAACCCCGUCGGUGCCGCCUCUGCCGCUUCACGAGGUGCUUUCCACGAGUCGGGUAGUUUGGGAAUGCUGCCCAAAAUUGGUGGUAAAUCCCACCUAAGGCUAAAUACUGGCGAGAGACCGAUAGCGCACAAGUA